rnacentral:rRNA from 2 species
AGAGUUUGAUCCUGGCUCAGGAUGAACGCUGGCGGUAUGCUUAACACAUGCAAGUCGAACGGGAUGCUUAGGCAUCUAGUGGCGGACGGGUGAGUAACGCGUGAGAAUCUGGCUCCAGGUCGGGGAUAACAGUUGGAAACGACUGCUAAUACCGGAUGUGCCGAGAGGUGAAAGAUUUAUCGCCUGGAGAUGAGCUCGCGUCUGAUUAGCUAGUUGGCGGUGUAAGGGACCACCAAGGCAUCGAUCAGUAGCUGGUCUGAGAGGAUGAUCAGCCACACUGGGACUGAGACACGGCCCAGACUCCUACGGGAGGCAGCAGUGGGGAAUUUUCCGCAAUGGGCGAAAGCCUGACGGAGCAAUACCGCGUGAGGGAGGAAGGCUCUUGGGUCGUAAACCUCUUUUCUCAAGGAAGAAGAAAGUGACGGUACUUGAGGAAUAAGCAUCGGCUAACUCCGUGCCAGCAGCCGCGGUAAUACGGAGGAUGCAAGCGUUAUCCGGAAUGAUUGGGCGUAAAGGGUCUGCAGGUGGAACUGAAAGUCUGCUGUUAAAGAGUUUGGCUUAACCAAAUAAAAGCGGUGGAAACUACAGAACUAGAGUGCGGUAGGGGCAAAAGGAAUUCCUGGUGUAGCGGUGAAAUGCGUAGAUAUCAGGAAGAACACCGGUGGCGAAAGCGUUUUGCUAGACCGUAACUGACACUGAGGGACGAAAGCUAGGGGAGCGAAUGGGAUUAGAUACCCCAGUAGUCCUAGCCGUAAACGAUGGAUACUAGGCGUGGCUUGUAUCGACCCGAGCCGUGCCGGAGCUAACGCGUUAAGUAUCCCGCCUGGGGAGUACGCACGCAAGUGUGAAACUCAAAGGAAUUGACGGGGGCCCGCACAAGCGGUGGAGUAUGUGGUUUAAUUCGAUGCAACGCGAAGAACCUUACCAAGACUUGACAUCCUGCGAAUCCCGGUGAAAGCUGGGAGUGCCUUAGGGAGCGCAGAGACAGGUGGUGCAUGGCUGUCGUCAGCUCGUGUCGUGAGAUGUUGGGUUAAGUCCCGCAACGAGCGCAACCCUCGUUUUUAGUUGCCAGCAUUAAGUUGGGCACUCUAGAGAGACUGCCGGUGACAAACCGGAGGAAGGUGAGGAUGACGUCAAGUCAGCAUGCCCCUUACGUCUUGGGCUACACACGUACUACAAUGCUACGGACAGAGGGCAGCGAGCCAGGGAUGGCAAGCGAAUCCAGAAACCGUAGCUCAGUUCAGAUCGAAGGCUGCAACUCGCCUUCGUGAAGGAGGAAUCGCUAGUAAUUGCAGGUCAGCAUACUGCAGUGAAUUCGUUCCCGGGCCUUGUACACACCGCCCGUCACACCAUGGAAGUUGGUCACGCCCGAAGUCAUUACCCCAACCGAAAGGAGGGGGAUGCCUAAGGUAGGACUGGUGACUGGGGUGAAGUCGUAACAAGGUAGCCGUACCGGAAGGUGUGGCUG